CAAGCCCGUCCCCUUCCUCCCCUCGGUCUAGAUCCUCCUCCUCUCCCGAUUCCCUCUCUCCCAACACCGACGCCGUCGCCUCCCCCGCAUGCCGGUCAUCCACCACUGCUGCACCCACCCUCUCCCCUUCUCAAUCUCGAUCCAGUCAGGAGAUUUGGGCUCCUGAGGUGAAUGAUUUCAUCUUGAUCUCCGACAGCGCCUACACCCGGGAGCAGAUUCUGAAGAUGGAGAAGGCCAUCUUGAUCGCCGGCCUCCCUCGCCCGGGAAGAUGACGGAGAACCACCGCUUCUAGG